rnacentral:lncRNA from 1 species
GGAAAGCACAUUGGUGUUAUCCAGGAGGUGUGGAGGAAGACUCCAGCUCUAAAAUUAGUCCAGCUUCCAGGCCCGGGGACCGGGAGCGCCCUCCAGCUUGCCACGAAUUCCCCGCAUCCCCCGCCCGCUCGCCCCCUCAUCCCUGCACCGCGCCCGCUCGGAGAUCGCCAGUCAGCCCCGACGCACGCGGACGCCUCUCUCCCCCUCGCCCCUUGCGUUAGCGGUUUGGGAGGAGGAGCCCACGAGAGAAGCAGUGAGAGGGGGGAGAGGCGAGGGGCCGUGCGUCGGCGUCUUCUGUGAUGGGGAACUCGGAGCGGUAGGAGGCGAGCAGUAGCGGCGCGGCUGCAGCUCUGAGCGGACCCGAGAGCCCGCGCUCCUCCCGGCAGGCUGCGCUGUGAUCCGGGCUGCGGAUUGGGAUCUAGCUCCCCCGACCCUCUCCUCCACCGCUGUUCCCUUCCUCCGCCUGCGAACCUGCUGCGGUGGCGUCUGGAGCGCCGAGCGCCGAGCGCCUCGGCUCGCUUCCCCAGGCCCGGGAGCGCGCGCGGGCACUGCGGCGGCAGCGGCUGGGAGGCCGGCUCGCCGUAGGCGAGAGCGCCGGGGGAAGACCACGGGAAAGCGCCUGGUGGAGCCGUGGAUCUCCGGCUGAGGCAAGGCUUCAUAUGCAAGAGCGAAGCAUGAAAAGAUGGUGUCAUUAUGAUGAAGCAGAUUUAAACGUAGUGCAAACGCCUCAUAAAAUCUUGCAAUGCUGACAGCCAGCCUUCCUCCAGUGACGGAGGCUCUUGCCUCCCAUGCAUGGAAUUCCCUGGAAAGAAUUUACAACCAAGAAGAGGUUUUAGUAUUAAUUAAACAAUGAGAUGCCACUCUUGCAAAUAACUAUGGAUACCAUUAACUGAUCACAAAUCUAUAAUUCUGGCAUAAGAUAGAGUAGAUUUUCAUCUGUCUUGGAGGAUUGUUUUAUAUUACCUGUAAUUCAUAAUGCAUGAUGGGAUGUCUCUGAUAUCUUUUG